GCUCCCGGCUAUUUGAGCCAAUGGUGAAGUUCCUGAUGCCCACACCUGCUGGUCUCACCGCGAAGGCCUGGGCGUCACAGGCAGGGGGAAUGGGGAGGGGACGGUAGCGUCAGCCUAGACCCACACGCAGUUUCCUGAUAAAAGGUCCUUUUGAAACAUUCAUUCUCUUCUCACCAAGUUGAACGGAGAUGUGUUCCCAUAGUAAGAGUGAGGCCCCUGCAUUUGCUGCCCUCGGUUUUUCCAACCAACACCAUGGCCUCCCCCCGUACCCCAUUCAUACGCCUCAGAAGCUGACAAUGACUGUUGGGCUUUUCCAAUGAAUACCAGAACACCAUUUCCUGCAGCCUGAAAAGAAGACAGUAUAAUUAUUUGGCAGCAAGAGGUGACCAUGGGCCAAGCAGGAAACUAGAGAUAUGGUGAUGGUAGUGGUCCCAAGGAGGAGCUUUAACAUGAGCACCACCCACAGGAGGCAGACCACCCUCCUGGCUGCAGUGCGUAUGAAUGUUGGCCCCCACCCAGGUCCUCAAGUGCUUUCCCAGUCACGCCCCAGCUGCCAGGUUUUUUCUCCAGGCCUACUUCAGGUUGCCAAGCAUGGAAGGAUCUCUCAGCUUCAUCCAGAGUCUUACACCCUCCUCUUUUUCCAAGCUGUGGAAAAAAUUUCUGACCUGAGAUCACCUCAGCAGCACUCCCAGGACCCAUCCAACCAUUUCCCCCAUCCCCAAAAUUUGCAGGAGGAAGAGUUAUUUCAAUAAAGCAAAAACCUGUUGCCUGAAGCAUAUAAAAAGAUUCUUCUCUUUCUCCUACCUCUACUUACAAAGUGAAUCCUCCCUUCUACUCAGAAUGCCCGUACUGCCUGUUCAAGGUAAGCCCCAAAUCCCACCAGCAUCACCUUCAUUCUACCUGUGAGGCCCCUGCUGGCC